rnacentral:lncRNA from 1 species
UGAAAUUGGUUUCCUGGACGGUAGAAAAUUUGGUGAAUUCAAUUGAGGAAUCAGAAAAAAACUUAGCGCAGAAGAGAGAAAACAGUGUAUGUGUCUCUGUAUAUUAGGGAUGAGAAGGUUUAAUUGGUGGUGGUGAUGAUGGUAACGGUGAUUAAAAGAAGAAAAAAAUCAUGAUGGUGGUGCUGGUGGCUGACAGUAGUGGCUGUAGUGUUGAUGAUCACGGAAGGAGAAUGUGAUGUAAUCAUGAAGACGA